ensembl:lncRNA
CUGGUCUAUAGUAGUGUACUAUAUAGGGAAUAGGGCUCUGGUCAACAGUAGUGCACUAUAUAGGGAAUAGGGCUCUGGUCAACAGUAGUGUAUUAUAUAGGGAAUAGGGCUCUGGUCAACAGUAGUGUACUAUAUAGGGAAUAGGGCUCUGGUCUAUAGUAGUGUACUAUAUAGGGAAUAGGGCUCUGGUCAACAGUAGUGCACUAUAUAGGGAAUAGGGCUCUGGUCAACAGUAGUGUAUUAUAUAGGGAAUAGGGCUCUGGUCAACAGUAGUGUAUUAUAUAGGGAAUAGGGCUCUGGUCUAUAGUAGCGUACUAUAUAGGGAAUAGGGCUCUGGUCAACAGUAGUGUACUAUAUAGGGAAUAGGGCUCUGGUCAACAGUAGUGUACUAUAUAGGGAAUAGGGCUCUGGUCAACAGUAGUGUAUUAUAUAGGGAAUAGGGCUCUGGUCUAUAGUAGUGCACUAUAUAGGGAAUAGGGCUCUGGUCAACAGUAGUGCACUAUAUAGGGAAUAGGGUGCUAUUUGAAGAUGCAUUCGGACAUGUAGCUGAGUAGAUGCUCCUCAUCAACAAGUCAUUGCUGAUAUGACAACUAGAUCCUGUUUGGCUGUGUGUCUAUGGCACCCUCUACCCUACUUAAUACACUCAUAGGGACUCUGGCCAAUGGUAGUGCACUGCGUAGAGAAUAUGGUGCCAUUUUGGGAAACAAGAGACUAGAUCCCGUUGUCUUGGUAAUGGUUGCUUGUCUCCGACUCCUACUUAUGGAGAAAGCUAUAUGGAUGUCUGUGAGGACUGUAGGAGAAGGUCGUGCAUUUCUAAAGAUGAGAGAGAGUCUGGUAUUAUUUUUUGCAAUAUAGACCUACAAACUAAGAGCCAUGCUUUUCAUUUUCUUCAAUAUCUCAUCUAGAGAUGGUUUGUAUUGAUUGGUUGCUCUUGCCUCUCUUUCACUCUGUAUGUGCUUUGUCAUUAUUGCUAUUUAUGUUGAAUGUAUUUGCUAUAAACUCAUUCAACUUUAUUUUUUUUAACCAAAAAACAUAAUUCAUGUUCAUAAAUAGACCAAGGCUGGUCUGGGUCUAUCCAGGGCUAGUCUGGAUCUGUCCAAAGCUGGUUUGGGUCUGUCCAGGGCUGGUCUGGGUCUAUCCAGGGAUGGUCUAGGUCUGUCCAGGGAUGGUCUGGGUCUGUCCAUAGAUGUAUAGUUUUCAGACCCCAUCUAAGAAAGUAAAAAUACUCCUUCUUACUUUGCAGAGAAUGGCAGGAGCCCUGCUUGUGUGAAAAGUUAAGAGAAGGUGUAGAGAAGUUAAGAGCUGGUGUAGAGAAGUUAAGAGAAGUUAAGAGAAGGUGUAGAGAAGUUAAGAGAAGGUGUAGAGAAGUUAAGAGAAGGUGUAGAGAAGUUAAGAGAAGUUAAGAGAAGGUGUAGAGAAGUUAAGAGAAGUUAAGAGGUGUAGAGAAGUUAAGAGAAGGUGUAGAGAAGUUAAGAGAAGUUAAGAGAAGGUGUAGAGAAGUUAAGAGAAGGUGUAGAGAAGUUAAGAGAAGUUAAGAGGUGUAGAGAAGUUAAGAGAAGUUAAGAGGUGUAGAGAAGUUAAGAGAAGGUGUAGAGAAGUUAAGAGAAGUUAAGAGGUGUAGAGAAGUUAAGAGAAGUUAAGAGGUGUAGAGAAGUUAAGAGAAGGUGUAGAGAAGUUAAGAGAAGUUAAGAGAAGGUGUAGAGAAGUUAAGAGAAGAGGUGUAGAGAAGUUAAGAGAAGUUAAGAGAAGGUGUAGAGAAGUUAAGAGAAGGUGUAGAGAAGUUAAGAGGUGUAGAGAAGUUAAGAGAAGUUAAGAGGUGUAGAGAAGUUAAGAGAAGGUGUAGAGAAGUUAAGAGAAGUUAAGAGAAGGUGUAGAGAAGUUAAGAGAAGGUGUAGAGAAGUUAAGAGCGUACAAAAAAUGCAUUAUCUUUUACAAGAUCUAAUGUGUUAUAUUAUCCUACAUUCAUUUCACAUUCAUUCACAUUUCCACAAACUUCAAAGUGUUUCCUUUCAAAUGGUGCCAAGAAUAUGCAUAUCCUUGCUUCAGGUCCUGAGCUACAGGCAGUUAGAUUGGGGUAUGCCAUUUUUGGCUAAAAUUGACAAAAAUGUGCGGAUCCGUAAGAGGUUGAGGAAGGUGUGUUCUUCUGUAUGUCCUGAAUACCUUCUGAGGAAACAAGCCGUGUCAUUAUUACAGACACAGUUGUUACUUUAGAUACCCUACUUUUCUCCCCCUGAAACAACUGUUCGUCUCUCUUAUUAAAAACAUGGUUAAACACAGUUCUCAGGGAUAGAAUUGUGGUUCCCAGGCACACAGGUUUGAUACAGCUUGUACCACUGUGUGAUCAACAUAAUUACAGUCAGGUUAGAGUUAACUGUCUCUCUCUCUCUCUCUCUCUCUCUCUCUCUCUCUCUCUCUCUCUCUUUUGCUCUCUGUCUAUCUCUCUCUGUCGCUGUCUCUCUGUGUCUCUGUGUCUCUCUGUCUCUCUGUCUCUCUCUUUUGCUCUCUCUCUCUCUCUCUCUCUGUCUCUGUCGGUCUCUGAGUCUCUGUGUCUCUCUUUCUCUCUGUCUCUGUCGUUGUCUCUCUGUGUCUCUCUGUGUCUCUCUCUCUGUCUGUCUCUGUCGGUCUCUGUGUCUCUGUGUCUCUCUUUCUCUCUGUCUCUGUCGCUGUCUCUCUCUCACACUAUCUCUCUCUCCUUUCUAUCCCUUUCUUUCUUUCUCUCUCGCUCUUCCCUCAUAUAAGCUCUAAGAACACUGCAGUUGGGGCACAGAUCACCCAUUCUAUCAUUUUCACUUCAGUUCACUUCAGUGAGGAAGGAGAGGUGGAGAGAGGGAGGUGGAGAGAUGCAGGUGGAGAGAGGGAGGUGGAGAGAGGGAGGUGGAGAGAGGCAGGUGGAGAGAUGCAGGUGGAGAGAGGGAGGUGGAGAGAGGGAGGUGGAGAGAGGCAGGUGGAGAGAGGCAGGUGGAGAGAGGCAGGUGGAGAGAGGGAGGUG